rnacentral:lncRNA from 1 species
GGGUGUUUAAAUAGGCAUAGAGGGAGCUAGGAGAGUCCAAAUGAGGUGCGGUUUUCGGCCACGCGAUCGUGAUCGAACACUCUAGGACAUGGAGCAGAGUUUGGUGGGUUUUGGGCCAAAUUGGAGGGGUGUUGGGCUGCAACGCACACAAGGCCUUUUCGGUCACUCGGUUAACCGUUGGAGUAUCAAACAAAGUCCAAAUGGUAGGAAACUUGACAGGCGGUCUACCGGUAGUAAACCAAGGCCGCUUGGCAAGUCUCGGUCCCAUCUGGAAAUGUUUAAUCCCCACACACGAAAGAAAGAUAGAAAUGACCACCGGAGGAGAACGAAGCGCCGGAAUGCAAAACGGACAACGGGGAAAAGCUCGAAUGCAUGAGAUGAACACGUAUGCGAAUGCAAUGCACAUGAUGACAUGAUAUGAGAUGCAUGACAAAGAAAACAACACACGGAGACAAAGACCCGAACCCGAGGAAAAAUAAAUAUAACUUAACGCCGAAAACAGGAAGAGGUGGAGUACAAAUAGGGAAAGUUACAUCCGGGGUGUUACAACACUCCACCACUACGAAAGGAUCUCGUCCCGAGAUCUAGGACUGAAAGAACGCCGGGUACUCAGAACGGAGGUGAUCCUUGCGUUCCCAGGUAGCUUCACGGUCGGAAUGGUGUGACCACUUGACUUUGAGAAAUUUGAUUGACUUGUUGCGAGUCUUGCGUUCAGUCUCUUCAAGAAUAGCAACUAGGUGCUCAUGAUAAGAGAGAUCUUCUUGGAGCUCAAUGUCCUUGAAGUUGACGGAGCGGUCAGGAGUCUUGAAGCACUUUUGAAGCUAAGAGACAUGGAACACAUCAUGAACAUUUGCAAAGUUUGAAGGAAGCUCGAGUUGAUAGGCGAGGUCGCCUCUCUUGCUGACAAUUUUGAAAGGUCCCACAUAUCUAGGGGCAAGCUUCCCUUUGAUACCGAAGCGACGAGUACCUUUCAGAGGAGAGACACGGAGGUAAACAUGAUCUCCGAUCUCGAAAGCCAAAUCACAGUGCUUACUAUCAUAGUAGCUCUUCUGGCGGGAUUGGGCUGCUUUGAGGUUAUCACAAAUGACUUUGCACAUUUCUUCUGCCUCUGUGAUUAAGUCAUUACCCAAAAGAUGACGUUCACCGGUUUCAGACCAAUUGAGAGGGGUACGUCACUUCCUGCCAUACAGAAUUUCAAAAGGGGCCUUGCCCGAACUUGCUUGAAAACUGUUGUUGUAGGAGAAUUCAGCAUAACGAAGACAAUCCUCCCACUUCAUGUCGAAGGAGAUCACACAAGCCCUGAGCAUAUCUUCAAGAAUCUGGUUGACACGCUCGACUUGACCGCUUGUUUGAGGAUGGAAAGUUGUGCUGAAGUGGAUGUUAGUGCCCAUGGCCUUCUGAAAAGAAUCCCAAAACAUCGAAGUAAAGAUGCUGCCACGGUCUGAAGAGAUCACUUGAGGAAUACCGUGCAGAGAGACAAUGCGAGAGGUAUAGAGUUCCGCCAAUUGAGCUGCAGUGAUCGACUCUUUGAUAGGCAGAAAGUGAGCCACUUUGGUGAGUUUAUCGAUGACAACGAAUAUAGCAUCAUUGCCACGCUUGGACUUUGGAAACCCAGUCACGAAGUCCAUUUCAAUGUGGUCAAACUUCCAUUCUGGAAUGGCAAGAGGUUGGAGGAGACCUGCUGGCCUUUGGUGUUCUGCCUUCACUCUUCUGCAGACAUCACAUUCAUUCACAAAUUGAGCGAUCUCGCGCUUCAUUCGAGUCCACCAAUAAGCUUGCUGAAGGUCCUGAUACAUCUUCGUGCUCCUAGGGUGGAUGGAGACGAGAGAAUUGUGAGCCUCGUUCAUGAUCACUUUACGGAGGUCACCUUUGGGUACAGCAAUACGAUCCUCGAAAUAGAGAGUGUCCUUGUCAUCAAGGCGGUAGCACUUGUACUUGGACUGACUCUUGGCAAUCCCAAUCUUCACCUUUUUCACCAUAGCAUCAAGAAGCUGGGCUUGGCGAAUCUGGUCUUCUAAGGUAGGAGAGACUUGAAGGUUGGCGAGGAAACCUUGAGGAACAACUUGCAGAUUAAGUUUGCGGAAAGCUUCACAAAGCUCGGGUUGAUAAGGCUUAAGAAUCAGACUGUUGCAGUAAGCCUUCUUGCUCAAAGUGUCAGCAAUCACAUUGGCCUUGCCUGGAGUAUACUCGAUACUCGGAUUAUACUCUUGAAUCAUUUAGACCCAUCGAGUUUGCCUGAGGUUGAGAUUAGGCUGAGUGAAGAUGUACUUGAGACUCUUGUGAUCAGUGAAAAUGUCCACUUUUCUUCCCAAUAGAAGAUGUCUCCAAGUCAAAAGAGCAUGCACAACUGCCGCAAACUCGAGAUCAUGAGUGGGGUAGUUCUUCUCAUUAGGAUUCACCUGGCGAGAGGUAUAAGCAACAGCUUUCUUCUCUUGCAUCAAUACUGCACCAAGACCUUGGAGAGAGGCAUCACAAAAGACCUCGUACGGCUUGGAUUCAUCAGGCGGAGUCAGAACUGGAGCAGUGAUCAAUUUCUCUUUCAAAGUGUUGAAAGCAAUGUCACACACCGGAGACCAAACGUACUUGACGUGCUUCUGGAGAAGAUUAGAGAGAGGCUUCGCGAUCUUAGAAAAGUUUUCAACGAAUCUUUGGCAAUAGCUUGCGAGACCAAGAAAACUGCGGAGUUGCUUCACGUUCUGAGGAGGUUCCCAAUUCACAAUUGCAGACACCUUCUCAGGAUUCACGACAAUGCCCUUGGCAGAGAUGAUAUGACCAAGAUAAAGAACCCCAUCGAGCCAAAAUUCACACUUGGAGAACUUGGCGUAGAACUGAUGUUCUCUGAGCUUAUCAAGAACCAAACGCAAAUGCUUGGCAUGAUCUUCCUUGUUCUUCGAGAAAACCAGAAUGUCGUCGAGACAGACCAAAACGAAGUCAUUGGUGUAGGCGUUGAAGAUGAAGUUCAUCAUGCGAGAGAACGUCGGAGGAGCGUUGGCGAGGUCAAAAGACAUGACAGUGUAUUCAUAUGAACCAAAGCUUGUUCUGAAUGCUGUCUUGGGAAUAUCUUCUUCACGAAUGCGAAUCUGAUGAUAGCCCAUACGGAGAUCAAGCUUGGAGAAUACUUGGGCACCUUUGAGUUGUUCGAACAGCUCAUUGAUGUUGGGAAGUGGAUAUUUGUUCUUGAUGGUCUUCUUUUUCACUGGACGGUAGUCAACACAAAGUCGGUCUGUUCCAUCCUUCUUCUUCACAAAAAGAACACCACAACCCCACGGAGAAGAACUAGGCCGGAUGAGACCCAUUUUCUCUUGCAUAUCGAGUUGCUUCUUCAACUCCUUCAACUCUUCAGGACCGAGCUUGUAAGGACGUUUGCACACAGGUUCCGUGCCAAGCUCAAGAUCAAUAACGAAUUCAACUGGCCGGUGCAGAGGCAUUCCUGGAAGCUCUUCUAGAAAGACGUCUUGAUAUUCGCAAACGACUGGAAUUUGUGAGCUGGCAUCCAAUUCACCCUUCUCAUUGAGAGAAAACAGACGGAUAGUAUCAUCACGAGCGGCAAAGACAAUUACAUCCUCAGACGAAUGAGUCAAUUGAAUCUAUCUGGCUGCACAAUCAAGUUGAGCCUUGUGCUUAGAAAGCCAAUCCAUUCCGAGAAUAAGAUCAAUAUCCGAGUCACCAAGAACAUUUGGAGAGGACAAGAACUUAUAGUCACCCAAAGUGAUAGUAACAUCCGGAACGUAUACUCGAGAUGUCAUUUGACGGGCCGGAGAGACGAUAGCCAACGGCUUCGGCAACACUUGUGUAACAAAAUCAUGCUUAGAUGCAAAAGGUCUCGAGAUGAAACAAUGCGAUGCACCCAUGUCAAAAAGAACUCUUGCAGGAAUAUCAUUAACAAGAAGGUUACCCAUGAUCACAUCUGACGAGUCCUCUGCCUGAGUUGCAUUCAUCAAAUUGACCUUGGCAUGCUUGGGGUUAUGCUUGACCACAGCUGUACUUACCGAUCUGACAGGAGGAGGAGGAGGAAGACGCCUCUGGUUGAAACACUUGUUGGCAUAGUGACCCUUCUUUAGCACUUGUUGCACGUGACCUCUGAAAGCGGACGGUGAUACGGAGCACUUGAUCUUGGAGCUUGAGACGAAGUCUUGUUCUGAAAGACAGGGUUGGGUGGGUGGGAAGAACCACUGCCACCUUUACUCUUCUGCUGAAACAGCUGACGGAAAGGAGGAGGAGGAAGCCAAAACUUCUGCUGCUUGGCCACUUGAGUAGAGGAAGAAGGAGUAACAUCUCUGACUCGCUUCUUGGAAGCAUCACACCUCAACUGAGCAGCCUCUUGCUUCAGUGCCAUGUUGUAGAACUCAUCGUACCUCAAGGGCUCGAAGAGGACAAGAGCGAGCUGGAUAUCUUCUCUGAGACCACCCCUGAACUGAUAUAUCAUGCUCUUCUCAUCAGGCACGUCCUGCUUGGCAAAGCGGGUGAGCUUCUGAAACAACUUGUUGUAGUCAUAGAUAGACAAAGAGCCUUGCUUCAUAUUGCGGAAUUCCUCACACUUGCUUUCAACCACGCUAUGUGGAAUAUGAUGAGCUCGGAAAUCUCGACGGAAAUCAUCCCAAGUGAUAACUCGUCCACAUCUGGAAUCCUUGUACUGCUGGAACCAUUCUGCAGCUUGAUCUUUGAGUUGGAAGGAAGCGAACUUCACAAAGUCCUCAGGCUUGACGUUGCUGCACUCGAAAUGCUUGCACAGAUCCACAAGCCAAUCGUCAGCAUCGGUUGCCUCAACACAAUUGCUGAAAGUCUUUGGCCCGUUAGCAAGGAACUGGUUGAGUGUAGCAAAGUGACUCUGAUUGCUGCCUUGAUUCCCUUAACUGCCUUGAUUGCGCUCUUGAAGAAUUUGCAUGAUCAGCUGUGUGUUUGCAUUGGUUGCAGCCAUCACAGCUUGCCAUGCCUCUAGAGGAGGUGGAGGUGGUGGCGGAUCAGGAUUCGGAGUCGUGCGCGUUGGAGGAGCCAUCCUGAAGAGGUUGACCACCAUUAGCACAUUGACAGAUAAAUAUUGAAGCUGAAUCCAAUGGAAUGAAAAUUGCAACAUAUAGUCUUCACAUCCGAACAAAAUGAAUGAAUGCAUUCCUCUUGAAAUGGUCACAUAUCCCUAAAUUGAGAAGCCACGUAGAAUUAAGGUAGAGAAAUAAAUCAACAAGGUACGGAUCAAGAACGAAUAAUCGGUAAGAAAUCCCAAUCUCAAACCAAUAUCCGUGGAAGAGGAACUAGAGCUACUAGAAUUCCCACCUAUGAAACUCCCGAACCUUUCCGGUUAUGCAAUCAGGUGUUGGGUAUACAGGGGAAGCAUAAUAUCUCACCCAAACUAGCAAAUCCUACAUCCAGCUGUAUCCAUCCUUCAACACAUAACCGAGAAACCUUCGGAAACAAUCUACCUCAACCUUCGAAAAGCAUCCGUUAUGCAAGUUAUGGCGAUACUCCCGAACUCCCGCCCCAGUACUGGGUGGCGUCGAGGUUAUCUCACCAAUGAACUGCAUAAAAGAGAUUUUCGAUGUCGGCGUACUAGACUCAGGUAUUCCAGAACUGUAACGAUAAAAUUAUGAUGACAACACCUCAAAGCUCAACUCCCCGGGACACUUCCACAAAACCCCUGAUAGGAGGCACCAAGACAAUGUUCUCAUCAUAAAACCAUCGGAACGAUUCCAAGAUACCCGUGUGAUCCUAAAUUUUUUUUAGUGAAAUUUGAGAAGAGAUGAGUCAAAACUCUACGUUAGGAUGCCUUACCAGAGUGAUGAGGAGACUGGGAAGUAAACAGAAUUCCUAAACUCUCCGAUAUAUAAUUCCUAAAUGACUCAAAACAUUUUUCUAGACACAACUCGGCAGCUAAAAACGAUCAAGCAAUGGGGCUCCUAAGGUCGGGGAAGGCUCUGAUUACCAACUUGUCACACCCUCGAUGCGACUAUAGCUCCCACGUGUCGAGGCACGACUUAGAGACGUAAUCGCAUUGAAGGCAUAUGUCGCAAGUUAGGCAAUCUUCACAACAUCCCAUGUAAUGUGAAUAAUAAAGGGGAGAUAACAUAGUUGGCUUACACUCGCCAGGUCAAUCAAGUACAUAAAUAAAAUUACAUCAUCCAAACACUCAUGGCCCGACUACGACGCAAAAAUAAAGAGAACCCAAAAGGCGACAACGUCCUGUUCACCCCCAACUGGGCACCACUACUGAUCGUCGGGAAAGGAAACAUAGUAUCGUUGACAGUCUUCGUCGAACUCCCACUUGAGCUCAUACGCGUCUCCUGGAGCAGAAUCGUCAGGCCUUGCAUUUGGUGUAAUAGUAGUCUGUGAGCCACAGGGACUCAGCAAUCUCGCACCCUCGCGAUCAAGACUAUUUAAGCUUAUGGUAUGGCAAGGUAAAAUAUGAGUGGAGCUACAGCAAGCGACUAGCAAGUAUGGUAGCUAACUUAUUCGCAAAAGAGAGCGAGAAGAGGAGGCAAAGCACGAGCGAGAAGAGAGAGAACAAUUUGCGCAAACAUUACUCCAACACCGUGUCCACUUCCCGGACUCCACCGAGAAGAGGCCAUCACGGUAACACACUUAGUUAAUUCAUUUUAAUUAAUUAAGGUUCACGUUAUCUACAACCGAACAUUAACAAAUUCCCAUCUGCCCAUAACCGCGGGCGCGGCUUUCGAAAGUCCAAUCCCUGCAGGGGAGUCCCAACUUAGCCCAUGACAAGCUCUCACGGUCAAGGAAGGAAUAGAACUCCUCCCAAGACGUCCCGAUCAGACUCGGUAUCUCGGUAACUCAAGACACUUCGACAGGUUAAAACAAGACCAGCAACACCGCCCGAAUGUGCCGACAAAUCCCGAUAGGAGCUGCACAUAUCUCUUUCUCAGGGCACAGUCAGAUAAGCAAUCCGUACGACUAAAACCAGCCCUCGAGUUUCCCCGAGGUGGCGCUGCAAGGGGCUCUAGUUUGGACCAACACUCAGUGGAGCACUGGCCCGGGGGGGGGGGGUUAAAAUAAGAUGACCCUUGAGUCUACAGAACCCAAGGGAAAGAAAAAGCUUUAAUCAAGGCGAACUAUCAAGGGGUUCCCAUUAUAACCCAACUGCAUAAGGAACGCAAAAUCCGGGAACAUAACACCGAUAUGAUGGAAACUAGGGCGGCAAGAGUGGAACAAAACACUAGGCGAGAGGCCGAGCCUUCCACCCUUUACCAAGUAUAUAGAUGCAUUAAGAUAACAUGGCAAUAUAAUGAUAUCCAAUAAGUAAAUAAAAGAUGUUCCAACAAGUAACGGCCUCCAAUCUUCACCUGCAACUAGCAACGCUAUAAGAGGGGCUGAGCAAAGCGGUAACAUAGCCAAUCAACGGUUUGCUAGGACAAAGGUGGGUUAGAGGUUUGACAUGGCAAUUUUGGUGGCUUUCAAGCAAGUGGUAGGCAUCGUAGCAAUGGCAUAGCAAAAGAGCGAGCAAACUAGCAUAGCAAAGAUAGUAGUGAUUUCGAGGGUAUGAUCAUCUUGCCUGCACAGUUGUUAGAGUUGACUGGAUCCUCGAAAGCAAACUCAACGGGCUCCUCGUUAGAGAACUCGUCUCCCGGCUCUACCCAAACAAGACAAAUAAGCAACAAGGAUACAAUCAACCACGUGCAAGACCAAGCAAUAUGAUGAAAUGAUGAUAUGCUAUGCGGGAUGCGAUCCGGGAUGCAAAAUGCAAGAUAUGACAGGAAAUGCAUGAACCUGGCCUCAACAUGGAAAUCCAAGUGUGCCACUUGAAAGAUGAGAUGAAAUCGCUUGAAAACGAUAUAAAGAACGUCGGAAUCGGAGUUACGGUUUGGAAAUGGCAAGCGAUUUAAAAAUGACACCGGUCUGCGAUUUACAGCAAGUAGGCAUCUAAAUGCAACAAAAUGAACAUGCUAGAGCCACCAAACAUGACAACAAAAUACAUGGCAGGGAUGCACACAAGAUGGUUAAUAAAAGUCUAGCACUGAGCUACGGCCAAUUCAUCCAUUAACAGGUUCAAACAAGCAUGGCAAAAACGCAAAUGGUAAAACAGAUCUCAGACUUAGUGAAAUUAACACUUUUCUGGAAUUUCAGAUCAUAUAGCCCUCUUCGGAGCAACAAAACAACAUGCUACAGGACCUGAACAUGACAAAGAAAGACAUGGCAUGGAGGUACUCAACAAGCUUAACAAAAGUCCCUUAGUUACCUUGAGCCAAAAGGGAUCACAAAAUAUAGUAACAAGCACACGAACAUAGCAAAAACAUAAUCAGUUCUCAGACUUAGUGAAAACUGGGACAUGCUGAAACAUAACUAACGAAGGCAUGUUUAUGAGCUCGAUGCACUCACUACGGUGCAAGUCAUGGCUAGACAAGCAUACACCCAUAAAGAAGGCACAAAAUACAAGCUAGACAUGGCAAGAACAAUAGCAUAGCAGGCACGGAUCAACUACAAUAACACCGGCAAAAUCGCAAACAAGUUGACAAUCUGCCCAGAUUCGCAACGAAGCAAAAGUAGAGCUCGAUUGACUCAAGCUACGGUGCUGCAUAAUUGCAAACAAAGACAUGGAUGGAUAGAGAACUACAAUAUUAACAAAACUCCUUACUAAUCAUCCUCAAAAGAGGCACAGAUCACUAGGAAACAACAUGAACAUAUGGCAUCAUGAACUAAACAAUCCCAGGACUUAGUGAAAUCACUAAGUCCCUGAAAACAGAAUUAGCAAGUGCACCACUUUGCAAGCUUGCACAAGUCACCACACACAUCCUAAAAAUACAUGGGUUGCACCUCUGGAGAGAUGACAAAACCCUUAACAAAACAUAUGUAGAACUCACGGCCAUAUCAUGCACACAAUAAUCAUGGCGAAAAUGACAGAAGUGCUAAACGGAGUAACAGAUCUGACGAUUAACUCAAGUAGCCUUCUUCUAACAGCAUUUCGGGCAUCAAGAUGAGCUCAAAUGAAAAGGAUGCAAUGGAAUGAAAUGAUGUACUCUCUGAGAUGAACAUUUUUAUAUGCUAUAUGCAUGAAUCGGAGCUACGGAUGCAAAGUUACGGAGCCGCGAACAGAGGCACUUGGAUCUGCAGAUUUCAGGACUUGGACGAAAUUUAUACCCUGCAAAAGUCAACGGGACGAGGAUAUCCCGGGACGGAGGGAUCCGGGCGGCGGGGCUGCGUUUGGAUCGCUGAACGGGUGGAUCUGAUCAACCCGACCAGANNNNNNNNNNNNNNNNNNNNNNNNNNNNNNNNNNNNNNNNNNNNNNNNNNNNNNNNNNNNNNNNNNNNNNNNNNNNNNNNNNNNNNNNNNNNNNNNNNNNNNNNNNNNNNNNNNNNNNNNNNNNNNNNNNNNNNNNNNNNNNNNNNNNNNNNNNNNNNNNNNNNNNNNNNNNNNNNNNNNNNNNNNNNNNNNNNNNNNNNNNNNNNNNNNNNNNNNNNNNNNNNNNNNNNNNNNNNNNNNNNNNNNNNNNNNNNNNNNNNNNNNNNNNNNNNNNNNNNNNNNNNNNNNNNNNNNNNNNNNNNNNNNNNNNNNNNNNNNNNNNNNNNNNNNNNNNNNNNNNNNNNNNNNNNNNNNNNNNNNNNNNNNNNNNNNNNNNNNNNNNNNNNNNAAUGGCGGCGGCGGCGGCGGCGUGAAGCGGCGGCGGCGCCGCGUGGAGGCGGCUCCACCGGGCUGCGGGGCGAGGCGAGAUGGGCCCCGGGGGCCGGCCUUGGGCUCCCGGGCCGGCGGGGAUGUGGGGCGGCGGCGCGGCCAACAGGGCGGCGACACGUGGCGGCGGCGGGGUAAGUCGGACAUGUUCGGCGCCGUCGGAUGUGUCCAGCGGCGGCGGAUCUGAGAUUUUUGGGUUUCGGGGGAGGAGACCCGGGAUUUGGAAUGGGGGGGGGUGUUUAAAUAGGCAUAAAGGGAGCUAGGAGAGUCCAAAUGAGGUGCGGUUUUCGGCCACGCGAUCGUGAUCGAACGUUCUAGGACAUGGAGCAGAGUUUGGUGGGUUUUGGGCCAAAUUGGAGGGGUGUUGGGCUGCAACACACACGAGGCCUUUUCGGUCCCUCGGUUAACCGUUGGAGUAUCAAACGAAGUCCAAAUGGUACGAAACUUGACAGGCGGUCUAUCAGUAGUAAACCAAGGCCGCUUGGCAAGUCUCGG